CAGUCGCCACGGGAAUACAGAGGGUGCGAGCGUUAAUCGGAUUUACUGGGCGUAAAGCGUGCGUAGGCGGCUUUUUAAGUCGGAUGUGAAAUCCCUGAGCUUAACUUAGGAAUUGCAUUCGAUACUGGGAAGCUAGAGUAUGGGAGAGGAUGGUAGAAUUCCAGGUGUAGCGGAGAAAUGCGUAGAGAUCUGGAGGAAUACCGAUGGCGAAGGCAGCCAUCUGGACUAAUACUGACGCUGAGGUACGAAAGCAUGGGGAGCAAACAGGAUUAGAGACCCGAGUAGUCCCUGUCUCUUAUAC
rnacentral:rRNA from 1 species